UUCUUCGGGGCAGGGUGACCGUGGACCACGGAAUUCCCUACCGGCGGUAUAGUCCGCGACCCGCAGUAUGCGGCUGAUCCGGUGAAAUUCCGGAACCGACAGUAUAGUCUGGAUGAGAGAAGA
rnacentral:ncRNA from 1 species